rnacentral:lncRNA from 1 species
UUAAGUUAAUUAUUUUACCUUAAUUAUUAAGGUUAAAUAUGAAAGAAUAAUCAGAUAUGGAAUCCAAACCCUAAUUUUGGAUUAUUAUCAAGGUAUGAGAAUAAUAAUAUAAUAUUACAUAUAUUUUGAUUUUUCAGUGCUAUGAAUAUGUACGGUAUGUCCGUAUUGAUAAUGGUUGGUCAAUUACGGUGUAUUUUGACCCAAACCCUAGUAAUAAUGUUAAACCCUAAUUUGAG